AGCGCGCGCGGUCGGGCGAGGCGGGAGCGCGGCUUGGGCUCCCCUUCCCCCGCCCGCCCUUUUUUUGCAGACAUCUUCAUGAAGUCGUGUGAAGCCGGGGAAGGGAGGGACGGGGGAGGCCGCGCAGACUGCAUUGCGGCAAAGCCUGUCUGGAACUUUUUUUCUCUCUCUUUUUAACCGAGACAACAGGGAGGGAGGGGACGCCGAGGACAGGGACGUUGGCAGCGCCACACCCGGCGCGGUUUCCCCGGUCCUCACGUCUGCUCUCCGCAUGGCCCGAUUGUAGGCGUCGUCGGAAAAACUCUGCCCCAGGUUUCUGAGGGCAAAGCCGAAUGCGCAUUGUUCUUCAUCUGCCUCUUUAUUUUGAAAUGGACAAAUUGACUCUGGCCCAGACACCAAGGCCGAACAGGAGUGCAGGCAAAGGGACUCAAGACAAAACAGAGCUGCAUCCUGAAGGAGACACUGACUGUUAUAACUGAUAACAGGGGUGAGCAAUCUCCUGAGCUGGAGGAGAGUAACCCACCCAUCUCUGGACUUUGGCAGGCCACGCCUGUUACCAUCCUACCCCUCCCGCCACCAUUUUCUUCCCAUUUAUUUUUUAACUGAAAGAAACCCUAAGGCCCCUGAGGAGUCAGAGAGCUACCAACAAUAGGGUUGGUGUGAAUGUAGGCUGUGGAUCUUUCCCAUGGCUGCUGUUGUUGUUUAGUCAAUACGUCGUGUCCGACUCUUCGCGACCCCAUGGACCAGAGCAUGCCAGGCCCUCCUGUCUUCCACUGCCU
rnacentral:lncRNA from 1 species